UGGGCUAAAAACCGUCAGCCUUACCCCACCUUGAUCAUUCCCUAUAAUUCGAUAAUUAAAACCUCAAAAUUUAAAAGCAUUCAACUUCUCGAAGAAUAGGCACUUCAAAAGAUAUAAAAAAUAAAAAAUAAAUUCAUUAAAACAUAUCAAUAUAAAAAUAGCUGCAUUAAAACAUAUCAACAUAAAAAUAGCUGUAUCAAGAAGCAUUAAGCCCUCACAUAACAGAUACGAAUUCGACAUUGAUAAGAUUGAAAAUCAUCAUAUAAUCACAGAAUUACGGUUUGUAUGUAUAAAACCCAUAAAAUCCACAAACAGAAGAUAAAAUUUAAAACUUGGGGGAUCGGGGGGUUUUGGAGAGGGGAUAUGCAGGCAUGCGAUACUAAAAUUACCAAUGAAAUUUAUCAUCGGGUAAUCAAACUGGAAGGUUGGCGACGUCGUCGUCUUCGCUUUGGUGGGGGUUGUUGGUGAGAGCGAGAGGGCGGUCCUUCUCCUCAUCUUCAAAAUCAUCCUCGUCGGGAUCAAAGGUAGCGAUAUUGACGCAGGAAAAACGCUCCAGAGACGAAAAGAAGGCGGAGAUGACGGUGGUGCUAACCCAGGUGGCGACCUGGUUCAGGUUAUCCAUCGAUACGAUGGCAUUGGCGUUGGCAUUGGUGUCGGGGUUGUUGUUGUUAUCCAUCGUUAUGAUAUGAAAGGUAGCCUGACAAUUAUUGGAACGAAUAUCAAAAUGAAAUAGGUAAUUUGAGAGAAAUUGAGCGAAAGAAAGAAAAAAGAAGAUAGAAAGAGAGGGGUUCGAAAUGCAGAGUCAAAAUGCGCGGUGGAUGAAUGUAAAACAUAAAAUGGAAUGGAGUUUUGUUUUGGGCUUAAUUACAUUAAUCCCUGCUUUAAUCACGGUUAAUUAUAUAUUAAUAUUAAUCUACAUUAUACUAUUAUUUUCACCUUUUUUUUAUAAUAAUUUUAUUUAAAUAGUUGACUGGUCCGAGGUUGAGUUUGGUUAAGAGACAACGUCGGAUGGAUUUUCGUUGGACAAAAGGCAAAUCCAAGAGAUAACUUCUUUGUCCAUAUGCUAAUAUUUCUUAAAAAAAAGUAGCAAAUAUGGAUUAUUUUCCGUUAAAGAAAAUCUAUAUUAAAAAUAAUUCCCACAAAAAAUUUACUUUUUGUUAGUUAAAUUAAAAUUACUAAAAUGCUUAGAAUACAAGAGUUCUAUAUUUUUAGUACUUACAAAUUAAUAGAGAGAAAAAUAUAUAUCUGUAAACAAGGAAUACCUUGUAAUUACAUCAUUGACCCACCAAUUGUUUCCCCAAUUGCUUCCUUUGCUGUCCAGAAAUCGCUAUCAGUAGUUGGUCGUGGACCAGUAAUACAUGACAAUUAACUGAAUGCUUAACAAAUAAUAAAUUUCAUUUCUUGCACUGGAUUUUCCAACAUAAUAAUCUCUAAUGAUUCAUUUUCUUAAUUAAAUACAUUAAAUAUUGAAAAAUGCUAAUAACAUUUAAUAUUUUGGAUAAAGAAAUAUUUUAAAUUUUUGUUAAUACAUUCUAAUUCAUUCACGAAUCUAAUCGAUAAGCAAAUCAAUUGUGAUCAAAUUUCAAACCUUCAAUUCAAAAAAAUAAUAAAGAAAAAAAAGUGUAAUUUGAAGAUUGCGUAUACCUCCCCAUAAGUUGACAACAAAAUCGGGGAUACUUCAGCUUCAUGAUACUAUUUAACAAAGCAACUUAAUAAGCUUCUUUUCCAUUCAAGUAAAACACAACUAUAAUUAUAUUGUGGUAUUUGCCAAAUGACCAGUUUGGCACUCAUCCUUCUGUAAAAAACUGUUGGGAUCGCAAUUGCUUGUCAUAUUGCAGGAGUAUGCUUAAGCUGACUGGAGUAUCUUCUUAUAAUCCUGGAAUGUCCCAUGGAAAGGUGCAAUCUUUCCUUCUGAUACCACCCAUAGCUCCUCUACGCUUCCGGAUAUUAGAUGCUCGUCGUGACUAACCUGGAAGUGAGGAUGCCAGCAAUUGCUUGCUUGAUUAAGUCAUUUGUUUUUGAGAAGCUGAAUCAGAAAAUAAGAAUAAUUCAAAAUAACAGGCAUCAUACCAUGAGAAUCCCUCCUUGGAACAAGACAAGACCUUGGAUUAGUGCCUCCACUGCGUCCAAAUCCUACAUUGAACAUGUAUAUACACGUCAAAAAGCAAUUGAAAUGAUGUUGUUAUGUUCAUACGGCAUUACCAAAAGAAAAAUCAAUCUUUAUUUGGCAUAAUAUCAAUAAACUUUAAUUCAGGACCAUGUUAAGUAAUUAAGCAUUUGAAUGAAUGUAAUGAUGCAAUUUGGUUUAAAUAAAAUGGGCUCUUCCUUGAGAAUCAUCAUAUUCAUAUACAUCCCUUUCUAUACUUUGAGCAUGAAGAAAAUGAACAUCAAAUGGUGUUUAGAACAGCAAAUUUCAAACUCAACAUAGAAUCAGCUGUCUUUCCCCAAGAAAAGCACCUCAUCAGGGUUCAAUAUAAACCAAAAAUAAAUAAGUAAAUGGAAAAGAGAAGCAAAGAGAAGGAAAUGACUUACAAGAUGAUUGGAUGGCUCAUCAAGCAAUAUUAUGUGUGGUUUCUUGAAAGUUAUCUUUGCAAAUGCAACCCUGCUUUUCUGACCACCUAAGGUACAGAGUAAUUACAAACAUAUACAACAAAAAAUGUCUGAGACAAUUUCUUUUGUGAGAGCACUAAAAAGUCAUAACUAAGACUGGCUCUCCGAAUCAGCACACUUAAAUAAAAUCUGGUUUGCAUAUACAUCAUGCAAGCUUUUAACUCGAGUUACAAAGCCAAUUAAUAAGCGAACCUUGUUGAGUGUUAAGUUGAACCUCAGUUCUAGAGGACCAGCCUAGAUAUUCAUUCUACAAAAUAGAUAAUGCAGGAAGAUGUGAAGAUAUAUACCAGAUAAUGUGUACAUCGGUUGGAGUGCCAGAUUUCCGGUCACACCAAAAGAACCCAAGUGAGCUCGGAGCUUUUGUUCAGGUACUCCCUAGAAGGAAGAAUCAUCAAAUAAGAGACUUGGAAGAAUGAGAAGAAUAUAAAAAGAGUUGUUUCAUUAAGGAGUUGGAGAUGUUUGAAAGGACCAAAAUCCACCCUAGAGAGCUAAAGAAAGGUAUUCCCGAUGGGCUAGUACAAGUAUUGGGCAAUCUCAACCUGACAACCAAAAAGUUACAGCCACUUUAACAAAGGGUUGUCUGAACCCCACUCAAGACCAGCAUAACAAGGGUGGUCAUAUGAUAUGAACCAUUGCAGACACGGAUUCAGAAUGAAGGCAUUGAACAAAAAUUCUCCCAGUACAGCUUCAUUUUUCCUUCUAUUGGACCCUAGACAAUCUAUUGCAUUAUAUAUUUCCUCCAUCUAAAAACAAUGAUUGGAAAUUCUGUACAUCAGUCAGAAAGCUCUCAUCUUGCAUUCCAAACUAAAUACGCUGGAUUUAAACAAGCAUAAACAUUUAAACCUGAUUAUGUCCAUACAUUAUUCACUUCAGAACUCAAAGAAUACAUAUCUCACUAUCCUCAACAAUGACCAAAUCAUGAAGUCAGAUGAAAUUUGAGAAAACAUGUCAGAGAAAAAUCAGAAUUGAAAAUGUAAUUGGACAAAGUAAGAACUCACUGGGAAGCAGCGCAUCAUAUAUAAAAGAGGAUUAGAGGACAGGUCAAGCCCGUCAACAUGGUGCUGACUAAACACAGCAAUGCGAACCUGCAAAAUGGAUAAGCAAACCUUAAGUUUGGUAAUGUCAUUUGUAACUAGACAAUAUUAUUCAUUAGAAAGUUAGAAAACAAAGCGAGCAAAAAAAUUAGUUUCGAAAAUAUCCAAUUACCAAACUGAGUAAACAAGCAGCUUUCUGGUUUUCAAUUUUUAGUUUUCCCUUUAGGAAAGAAACAUUUUUUGUAAUUGAGAUAUAAUCUAGACAAACAACUCUUCUAGAUGUAAGAGAAUUGUAUUAGCAUUAAUUGCAAAUUGUUAUCCAAUAAGCAGAAUCAUGGAAAAGGUAACACCUUUGCUGAACGGAAGACAGUGCCAGAGCUUGGUUGUAGUUCUCCUGCUAUUAGUUUAAGUAUGGUUGAUUUACCAAUGCCAUUUGGCCCAACCACUGAAUAAAUCAGGAAGAAAAAUAUCAGAAAUUUGACACAUGUCUAGUAUAUAUAUUAAUGAAUUAAUUCCUCUAAUCCUUAUAUAUUGAAGACCUUAAUGCUGAUGAUGCAAAUCCAACAAUAUAUGAAAACAUAUCUAACGUACAUGCAGAAAAAACAGAAUAUCCAUAUAGAAAAGCAUGCUUACUUGCAAUGCGGCUAUCCAGAUCUAUCCCAAAAUUCAGGUUCUUAAAUAAUAUGGGUCCUCCAGGAUAACCAAAUGAUGCAUCGCUGCAUUUACAUAUAACGAACAUCAAGAAUAUCAAUUGAGCUUUUCACUGUAGUCAAAGACAGUGCUGUUAAGAGGGAGUAGAACUAGCAUUUCUAAAUUUCAAAUUGACAUAAAUAAUAAAACAAAUGCCCGUCACUCCAAAAACAAUGAAACAUGAAAAAGUAGGACUUGAAGUUGAAGGAAUGAAAAUAAAUUGCAAGCCAGGUGCUUCAUCUUUACUAAAAGAAUACUGAAAAUAGCAUAUAAAAUAAAAUUCAAAUUCUGCUACAUGAGCUGCAGAUCAAACCUGAAACUUAUUAUUGGGGGACCUGGUCUAUCAUCUGGAGUUGGAAACUCGAAUUUGUAGCUGGGCACCAAAGAAACAGAGAAAAGAAAAAGAUUUCUAAGUAGAGCUAAGAGAGGAAAUUAGAUGCAAAUUCAUGUGAAAUCAAGAAUCCGAGUGACUCAAAUGGAGUCAUUAAGAAGAGCAAUGCAUACUCUGGGUCAUUGACAAUUUCAUCUACAUGACCCAUUCGCUCCAGUGCCUGAAGAGUCCAUGGAAAGAAUAAGCACAGAUUUAUCAAGCAAAAUAAGCAGCAAAAGGUUUUAAAUUUUCAAGUCAAGGUCAUCUAUCAAAUGAAAAUAAUCACCUUAAUUCUUGACUGGACAAGAGAUGCUCUCUUUGCAUUAUAACGAAACUUGUCGAUAAAGGACUGCAAGAAGAAAAAAUAUAUAUUUGCAAGUUAAACACAGUACUCAUAAUUCGAAAUGUUGACUUAAUUAUAUAUUGCACAUCAAUUUUCAAAUUCUUUAUGCAUAACAAAGUCAAAAGCACUAAAAUUAAAUGUGGGGAAAGAGGGGAAAACAAAUUAAAGUUGGUAACCAUAAAACAACAAAUCAUCAACAUUAUGUCUGGUACGGCAUGAGGAGUCUGAUAUCAACAUCACUGUAUUAUUAGGACCUGAUAAAUAAUGACUGGGUAUGAUAUAAAUACAAACUAAAAAAUACGGAAUGCCCACCUACAGUCGCAUUACAUAACCAAAAUGGAAAAGAGAGAAAGCAUAAUCAAUGUGGAAAAGUUAGAAACCUAAUGCAAAGCUUCAUAUAAAACAAGUUAUGCAAUUGUGCAAAGCUUCAUGAAAAAAAUUAUGCAAAAUGGACUUCAUGAAAUAAGAUGUGCUUGCUCUGAGUUUAGAAAUAAAUGUUGCAAAGGCAAAAAAAAAAUUGCCGCCAUCAAAACAACAAAUGAAAUAUUACAUAAUACACAUCAUUGCAUGUACAAAAAGCAGACCUGCAUAUGGGAUCUUGCUUUUUCAUUUGCCUCAAAUGCUUUCUGUUGGUUCUUAAUUUGCUCCUCCCGUGUCCUCUCAAAUGUAUCAUAAUCACCCUUGUAAGCAGUCAACUUUUGCCCAUGUAAAUGGAGAAUAUCUGUAACCACCUGAGAAACAAAACUGACGUUACACAAAUAGAAGGCAGAGAAUGUCCUGAUGACCUACGAUUUUUCUAAUACCUAAUUAAGUAGCAUGUGAAUAUUACCGUGUUCAAAAAUUCUCUAGCAUGAGAAACAACUAUGAAUGUUUUUGGCCACUUCACAAGGUAAGAUUCUAGCCAUAGAACAGCAUGAAGAUCAAGAUGGUUCUGCAGAAAAAUUAAAAACCUGUAAACCAACCCAUACUAAAUGAAACAAAUAUCUUGACAAGCACAUAAAUAGAUUCUGCACCGUAGGUUCAUCGAGUAGUAACAAAUCAGGUUCGAUAAACAGGGCACGAGCAAGGGCUAUUCUCAUACGCCAUCCUCCAGAAAAAGCUUUGGUUGCCUUCUUCUGCAUUUCUGGAGUGAAACUGAGGCCCUGCACAUAUUCAAGGAAUGAUGAGAAAUUACUUGUUUUUCAAGACCAAGCUAUAAGUUCUAUCCAUAUACGUUCUGAUCCCAAAUGACAGGUUAUAUUGAACCGAAGUCAAUCUGAGACAGAUAAAGGCUUCCGGUACUAGAGCUGCUAAUUUGGUCAAGUGAUCCAUAAAAGAACUCUUCUUGCUUCCUCAGGAAACUUUUUCAUCAUCAGCUACCCAAAACCUUGGCUAGACCUCAUUUUUUACUGUUUCUAAUUUUUUUUUUUUUUCGACCAAAUAUUUAUUUUGAGGUCUAAGUCAACUGGGCAUCAUUACUGAAUAAAGAAAGAGUAGAGAACUGACCGCAAGAAUGGAAGCAGCACGUGCUUCAGCAGAAUAUGCAUCAAUGAACUCAAGCCUUUUAUAUAUUUCCUCAAGCCUUCGUGAGACAGCAUCCUUGUCCAUUUCCCCAUUUUGAUCCAGUUUGCUACUUCCUUUCUCUCCCUCAAAAUCCAAAUCUCUCUUAAAGAAAAUCAUCAAUAUGUUAGCAAGGCUACAAGGUGCAAUAAAGAAAUUUUAAACAUAAUAUUCUUCACAGUAAAAGGUAUAAACAUACUUGUUGUGCAAGUAAAUGAGCUUCUUCUUCCAAAAGCUGAGUUCUCUCGAUAUCAGAGUUCAGAACACAUUGCAAGGCUGAAGUAUCAUCACCUACCACUUCUUGUUCAACAUGUAAGAUUUGGCAGUUUGAAGGAAUACCAUCAAUGGCAUGCAAAGCCAUAUGCCUGAGGAAAGUUGUUUUCCCAGUUCCAUUUCUACCAACAAGGCCUGCAAGCAAAAUGUUGCAAAAAAAAAAUCAUUGACAGCCAAGAGGAACUUUAUUUUAACAAAUAUCUUAUCUCCUCAUAUUUCUAAUUCUUCAUUUUCUUUCUACUUUUCCUGCUUUUGGAACCAGGGCAGAAUAUCUCAUGUGGCAAAUAAUAGAAAACUAACCAUAAUGCCUUCCAAAAGAAAGUGUGACUGAACCGUCUACAAUGAGAUCACGACCACCCACAGAUAUAUUGAAGUUCUCCAUAUGAAUGUCCUUGACAGCUGGUCCAGUACCUUGAUCAUGAUUCACACAAACAACGGGCAUUCCAGCUUUAACUGCUUCCAUUUCUGCUAGAUGCACUUGAUAUUGUGCCUGUUUAAUUUGAAAGAAUUACAAAUGAAGAAAAGAAAAAAACGUAAAUGAAUGCAAAAUUGCAGGAUCAUAAAUUGCAAAUUAAUGGCGACCAAGCUCAAUGAAUUAUCAACCUGAUUCAAUAUUUUAACAAAAUAUCAAGGAAUCAUAUUACAACACAACCAAAUAUGAUGUUAAACAGCCUAAGGUUAGAAUCACAUCCCAGUAUAAAAGCAUUGACAUAAUAGAUGGGGGAUGGUCAUGUGAAAGAGUACAGGAGAAG
rnacentral:lncRNA from 1 species